CAGAAAAUAGUUUAAAUAAAAUAAUAAUUUUGGAGAUUAUAGAGGCUGAGGCUUUUCUGA
rnacentral:tRNA from 1 species